UCAGCCUAGAAUGGCUGCACGACUCAGAUAUUUGGUUUUGGUGAUUUUCAUAUCUAGAUUACACAAUCACUUAAUAUUCCUGAGGUGAUUCUGAUCGAUGUUGAACCAGUCUUCGCGCAGCAACGGGGACAAUUGGGUCAUGCCGGGUUUAUCGCUUUUGAACUCUAUAGCAAGUACUCGCCGGCUGAAACCUACCGAAAGUGAACUUUGCACGUUACUGUAAUUUCGGCCACUAAAUGAGUUGGUCGAUGUUGGUGGGCAACAAAGGAUGGACAAAAAACUGGGAUGUAUCAGGAAAUAUUCAAGGCUGUGUUUUGAAUUCCCUUGUAUGCAGAUGUUUUGUAUCGGAAAUUUAGGCUGUGUUCUGUAUAAAUCAUUGUGUCAAAUGUAAAUUCACUUUCGCCGUUCUGCAGUAA